UACGUAGGGUGCGAGCGUUAAUCGGAAUUACUGGGCGUAAAGCGUGCGCAGGCGGUUCUGUAAGUCAGCUGUGAAAGCCCCGGGCUUAACCUGGGAACUGCGGUUGAAACUACAGGACUAGAAUCUGGCAGAGGGGGGUGGAAUUCCACGUGUAGCAGUGAAAUGCGUAGAUAUGUGGAGGAACACCGAUGGCGAAGGCAGCCCCCUGGGUCGACACUGACGCUCAUGCACAAAAGCGUGGGGAGCAAACAGG
rnacentral:rRNA from 1 species